GCAUGCGCACAUGCACGCGACAAGGCAGGCUGGUCGCGGGUGGGAGACUGCGUCGGAAAGUUGGCGACCUCCACAGCGUCACCUGUGCAAAUCGAAAGGCAGAGAUGCGGUGGCGCUUAACGCGACCUCGUCGCCAGUGGAAUUGAAGCGAUUUCUUUGGCCGGUCGUCUUGAGAUGGGCGGCAUUUCGCACGGAAGGAACGAGGCGGCAUUCAUUCAAGGUGUUUGCGCAAUUGUCUCAAAGGGGAAUUGGUGUACCCUGUGGCUCCCCCGUGUCAGCGAUCGCUUCACCACCUCCAAUGUGCACCAGAUCCUGCUUCAGCUGUCCGCCGACACCGCCCUCUCCUGGAAUUUCUUCAAGUGGGCGCAGUCUAUUCCCCACUACCACCAUUCCCUCCCAACCAACUUCACCAUGGUACACCUCCUCACCAGGAGCAGGCGAUUCCAAGAAGCGCGGAACUUGCUCCAGAAGUUCGCGUUUAAGGGGUUCCUCUCGUCGCCGACGGUGUUGAGUGCGUUGCUGAGCGAUCAUGGCGAUCAAGACUCGAAUUCGCAGAUCCUGAGUUGGCUGGUGUUCAUCUACUCCCGGUCGAACAAGACGCAUGAUGCAAUCCAGAUACUUGAGCUGAUGAAAUCUCGUGGACUGAGGCUUGAUCCACAUGCUUGCAGUGCCCUCUUGAGCGCGCUAGCCAAGGCAAGACUGACAGCCACAGCUUGGAAUGUAUACGACGACAUCCUCCGCAUGGGGGUUGUUGCCAAUGUCCACAUUCUCAAUGUCAUGAUCCAUGUUUGUUUCAAGUCGGGUGACACUGAGAAGGCUGAGAAGUUGGUCAGUGAGAUGGAUGGGAAGGUGGUACGUCCUGAUUUGUUCACCUAUAACACCUUGAUCUCAUUAUAUUGCAAGAAGGGCAUGCACUAUGAGGCUUUGGCUGUUCAGGAGAGAAUGGAGAAGGAAGGAAUUCAUCCCGAUAUUGUAACUUAUAAUUCUCUUAUCUAUGGAUUCUGUAAAGACGGUAGAAUGAGGGAAGCCUCGAGGCUUUUUAAGGAAAUCAAAGGUGCAGCUCCAAACCAAGUGACCUACACUACUCUUAUUGAUGGCUACUGCAGAGUUAAUGACCUCGACGAAGGGCUUAGAUUGCGUGAAGAGAUGGAGGCAAAAGGAAUGUAUCCUGGGGUGGCUACAUAUAAUGCAAUCAUCCGUAAGCUAUGUGAAGAAGGCAAAAUGAGGGCUGUUAAUGAUCUCCUGAAUGAGAUGGAUGAUCGAAGGGUUCAACCUGAUAAUGUCACGUGCAACACCUUGAUUAAUGCAUAUUGCAAGAGAGGAAAUAUGGAUUUUGCAUGGAAGCUUAGGAACAAGAUGUUGGAAUCAGGGCAAGUGCUAGACCAGUUUACAUACAAGGCCCUAAUACAUGGAUUCUGCAAGGUUCAGGAACUAGACGAGGCUAAGGAAGUCCUCCUAGACAUGCUGGAUGCAGGUUUUGCACCAAACUACAGUACUUACUCAUGGCUUGUAGAUAGUUACUGCAGCCUGAACAAUGUGGAGGCCGUGCUAAGCAUCCCAGAUGAGAUAGCACAUAGAGGUCUUUCUGUGGAUAAGUCGUUAUAUAGAGCUCUAAUAAGAAGACUAUGCAAACGAGGUUUAGUUGAUUUUGCACAGAAGGCAUUCAACAAAAUGCUAGAAAAAGGUUUAUUAGGUGAUAGUCUUGUGUAUGCUAGUCUUGCAUAUGCUUACUUGAGCACAGGAAAGCGGAUCGCAGCUUGUGAGAUACUAAAUGAAAUGGUUAAGAAGCAAUUGAUAAUAACAGCUAAAAUUUACAAGUCACUCUGUGCUUCACUUGCAAAUGAUAGUGGCAUUCUAGAUUUACUCUGGAGCCAUGCCAUUGAGAGAGGUCUGAUUGCUAGGAAUGUCUACAAAUUGAUGCAAGAAGCCAAGCUAAACUCUCAGAAUGAUACUUUGAAUAUGUCAAGUCCAUUUUGAUGAAAAAACACUGUUCAUUUCAAUUAUAUGAUCUGGUGAUAUUAUUUGGCAAAGUGACAAAAGUCUUCAUAUUGGGAAUGAUGCUUCAACAAUAUGCUGAACAAACAGAUGCCAAAAUAUAGAGGUACAUAUUCUUUUUUAAUUAUUAACAUUUUGCGUUGUCUCCGGACCACAUUUCUGUUUCCCUUUGAGUCUAUAGAUUUCAGGUUCACAACAACUAUUAAAACAGGGGAACCUGAAAAGUUACUCCAUGGACUGACAGUCGAUCAAGUUGAAUGUUCACUCAACUUGGGUGAGUCAAAGUUUCCAACGUUUGUCGUCUUGAGUGCUCAAACCCUGAAUACUCGAGGACAUUGAAAUAAUAUGCUAUCCAUUUGGUGUGCUAUAUAUUAUAUAUAUUUUUUAAAGAUUUGAUAACAUGCAGAUGAUCAUCCUGUGUAUAAAGCUUAUGUGAAAUGGUAGCAAUUGAAUUUUAUCUCAUUAUGCAUUUUAACCUAUUGGACAUUUUGAUCAACCUAGACAUAUGCUAGGUAUUGAAGAUGAGGGCAUCCCUUUCAGGCAUCAUGAGGCCAAGUUAAAAAGCAUAGCUAUGAGGAGUUCAAUUCUGCAACAAUUGGCAAGGUAAAUGGGGUACUACAAGAGAGGAGAGGAGGGGGUGGGGAUGUAUGGAAGCAUCUGUGUUGAUACUGUUCCUACAGAACUGUUACCUAUUUUAUGCUCUAUCUCUGUGGACAUUUUUAUAACAGGAUGUGAUCAUCAAUAAACUUUUUCUUUUUUCCAGAGUACUUCAUAUUAACCUCUUUGUCUACUAAUUGGUUUUGAGAGGCUGCACAUGACUCAUGCAUUCUAAAUCCUUGAUCAACAACUAGUUCUUACUUGAAACAACAAUGCAGUAGGAAACAAUUUUUUUUCUUUGCUGAAUAGUUUUGCCAAGAAGUUACCAACAAUUACCAUUUGAUUAUUACUAUGUGCUUGGAUCACUGAUCAUGGCCUUAAUCAGAUCUUUGCAAGUUUCUUUUUUUCUCCAAAAAAAAAAAAACCAGAACAAAAUAUUUUUUUAUUUUUAAGUUUCAGAAAAAGCAGAGUGCUGAGAG